CCUACGGGAGGCAGCAGUGGGGAAUAUUGGGCAAUGGAGGAAACUCUGACCCAGCAACGCCGCGUGAAUGAUGAAGGUCUUCGGAUUGUAAAGUUCUUUUCUAAGGGAAGAAGAAAGUGACGGUACCUUAGGAAUAAGCCUCGGCUAACUACGUGCCAGCAGCCGCGGUAAUACGUAGGAGGCAAGCGUUAUCCGGAAUGACUGGGCGUAAAGGGUGCGUAGGCGGCCUGCUAAGUCUGGAGUGAAAGGUACCGGCUCAACCGGUACAGGCUCUGGAAACUGGCGGGCUAGAGAGCAGGAGAGGG
rnacentral:rRNA from 1 species